rnacentral:rRNA from 1 species
UACGGAGGGUGCAAGCGUUAAUCGGAAUUACUGGGCGUAAAGCGCGCGUAGGCGGCUUAGUAAGUCGGAUGUGAAAGCCCCGGGCUUAACCUGGGAACUGCAUUCGAUACUGCUGAGCUAGAGUAUGGAAGAGGGAAGUGGAAUUCCGGGUGUAGCGGUGAAAUGCGUAGAUAUCCGGAGGAACACCAGUGGCGAAGGCGACUUCCUGGUCCAAUACUGACGCUGAGGUGCGAAAGCGUGGGGAG